AUUUACAUAAUUUAAAAAUAGAAUAUUGCAUUGAAGCUGCAAAAGAGGUCAAACGAUCUGUAAAUG
rnacentral:tRNA from 1 species